GCCGGAGUAGCUCAGCGGUAGAGCAAUCCCCUCGUAAGGGAGAGGUCAUCGGUUCGAAUCCGAUCUCCGGCUCAA
rnacentral:tRNA from 1 species